UACGUAGGAUGCGAGCGUUAUUCGGAUUUAUUGGGUUUAAAGGGUGCGUAGGCGGACGCUUAAGUCAGCGGUAAAAUUGCGGGGCUCAACCUCGUCGAGCCGUUGAAACUGGGUGCCUUGAGUGGGCGAGAAGUACGCGGAAUGCGUGGUGUAGCGGUGAAAUGCAUAGAUAUCACGCAGAACUCCGAUUGCGAAGGCAGCGUACCGGCGCCCAACUGACGCUGAAGCACGAAGGCGUGGGUAUCGAACAGG
rnacentral:rRNA from 1 species